CAUCAUAUAACUGAUACAAUGAGACAUUCUAAUCAACUAAUUUAACAAAAAAUCUCACGAGAUGUUCAAAAAAAAUUGUAGACCACCCGAAAAUUCAGUCUACAGAUUGCGCAAGACAAAUGUAUCUCUUUUUAUGAACAAAUUGUUCCACAUAAGGGUACAUUUAUCUGAACCUCGAAACCUGAAAAUAUUUCAGAUAUGUUCAGGACAAGGUGCGUGGCAAAUGAAUCCAAUGGCUCAACAGAUUUUACGAUAGUUUGGAAAAGCUGUUAGGACACUUGGAUGCAUUUUGAAGAUGUGAUGUGUGCAUUUCUAUACUUAGAUUUUUGGCGCAUUUUGCUUUUAUCGCGCGCAAGAAAAUUGCAACGCGCGCACUCAAUUUAAAUUAGCAUGCACUGGUUUUCAUGCCCUUAAUUUUACUAAGCAUGCAACUGAGCGCGUUUAAUUUUAAUAUGCAUGAAACGUUGCGCACUUUAUUCUAAUCAACAUGCACCUUAAUUUUUUUUCCACCUCUAGACUAUAUAGAGCACACGUCACUAUAUUUGCACAUGGAGUACACUCACUGACUGUACUCCGCACUACAGCAGCGCGCGCGCCGCGUAUGUUAAUUAGCUGCGCACGACCAUGGUGUUUUUAUGAUCCAUGGUUCGACCAAGCUCAUGUACGAACAAUGCAGGACAACACGGAAUGCAACAUGGCAAACAUUCUAUAUUGCUAUUGCGACCGUAUAUAAACUUGAUCUGCAGAGUGUUUUCACGGCGGCUAUGUUUGGGAACAAGUUAAAGUGCCGAAAUACAAGUAAACAAGAAAACCAUUAUUUUAAAAUGCUUGUACGUCAACAAAGCAACACGUGAAAACACCCUAUAUUUUUCCUGGCGGCCUUUUCAACUGAAAACUUAUAGUACAAUUUAUAAAGCGCGCGCGCGCAAUGUAUUAGCAACCUAAAGAAACGAGCCUAUUCUCCAUUUUGGAGCGAGAACUACGUUUCUUAUUGUUAAGCUCCUAAUCCAAG
rnacentral:lncRNA from 1 species